UAUUGCAAUUUACCUGGACAUCUUUGAACAGUUUUACAACCAACUAACACCAGAACAAAACAUUUCCUGCUUUUUCCGACAAGAUGGGGCAACAUGCCACACCUCAUGUAACUCACUGGCAAGGGUUCAUGAACUGUUGGAUGAGCGAAC